rnacentral:rRNA from 1 species
CGCGUAGGUAACCUGCCUCUUAGCGGGGGAUAACUAUUGGAAACGAUAGCUAAUACCGCAUAAAAGUCGAUAUCGCAUGAUAUUGAUUUGAAAGGUGCAAUUGCAUCACUAAGAGAUGGACCUGCGUCCCAUUAGCUAGUUGGAGAGGUAACGGCCCACCAAGGCGAUGAUGGGUAGCCGGCCUGAGAGGGUGAACGGCCACAAGGGGACUGAGACACGGCCCUUACUCCUACGGGAGGCAGCAGUGGGGAAUAUUGGACAAUGGACCAAAAGUCUGAUCCAGCAAUUCUGUGUGCACGAUGACGUUUUUCGGAAUGUAAAGUGCUUUCAGUUGGGAAGAAAAAAAUGACGGUACCAACAGAAGAAGUGACGGCUAAAUACGUGCCAGCAGCCGCGGUAAUACGUAUGUCACAAGCGUUAUCCGGAUUUAUUGGGCGUAAAGCGCGUCUAGGUGGUUAUGUAAGUCUGAUGUGAAAAUGCAGGGCUCAACUCUGUAUUGC